rnacentral:rRNA from 1 species
UACGGAGGGUGCAAGCGUUAUCCGGAUUCACUGGGCUUAAAGGGUGCGUAGGUGGGAAUGUAAGUCAGUGGUGAAAUCUCCGUGCUUAACAUGGAAACUGCCAUUGAUACUAUGUAUCUUGAAUUUUCUGGAGGUAAGCGGAAUAUGUCAUGUAGCGGUGAAAUGCUUAGAUAUGACAUAGAACACCAAUUGCGAAGGCAGCUCGCUACACGAAGAUUGACUCUGAGGCACGAAAGCGUGGGGAUCAAACAGG